rnacentral:tRNA from 1 species
CCCUGGAUAGCUCAGUUGGUAGAGCAGCGUGUUGAUAACGCGCAGGUGCUCCGUUCGAUCCGGAGUCCAGGGACCA